rnacentral:lncRNA from 1 species
AGCCCUCCGCUUCGCCAGGUGGACCGGGCAGGAGCCUCUUGGGAAGGCAGCGACCCACAUCUGUGUGCACCUUUGUGGAUUUCACGUUCCGGACGCAGGCGACCAAGCCAGAGCCAGCACUGUCAUACGCAGGGCACCUGCUGAGCCAUGUGACGUGCUGCUCUUUGCCAGCCCUGAUCGCCUUCCUUUCUGGCAGGACUUGCGCUUCACACUGGACCUUGAGGCCCCAUGGAGAUCUGCCAUUUUGGGCAGGUUCUGCUCAUGGUGCCAGUAACUUCACCUAGGAAAAGAGCGACAACUUCAAGCCCACAUGGCCCAUCUGAUUUUCAUCACACAGGUCCCCGCAGGAGAAUUUCCAUGGCAUUUCUCACUCUUUGUUUGCAAAGAAUUUCUUUUUUAUCUUUUUCUUUUUCUUUUUUCUUUUCUUUUUUUUUUUUUUUUUUUUUUUUUUGAGGCAGAUUCUCUCUCUGUUGCCAGGCUGGAGUGCAGUGGCACGACCUCAGCUCACUGCAACCUCCGCCUCCGCCUCCUGGGUUCAAGCAAUUCUCCUGCCUCAGCCUCCCGAGUAGCUGGGAUUACUGGCAUGCACCACAACGCUCAGCUAAUUUUUGUAUUUUUAGAAAAGACAGGGUUUUACCAUAUUGGCCAGGCUGGUCUCAAUCUCCUGAGCUCGUGAUCCACCUGCCUCGGCCUCCAAAGUGCUGGGAUUACAGGCGUGAGCCACCACACCCAGCCUAAGAAUUUCUUAGAAUUAAUAUCUGCACUUGGCCCCACAUCCUCUGAGUGAUAAAUUAGAACUGUCACUUUAAUUGUUGAGAGAGGAUAUUCAGAGAAUAGUGGGUGAUUUUACAAGCAAGGAUAGGUUUGGGGAGCACGUUCCGGGUGCAUUCUCAGGGUCUCGUGCAUUCUUUUAGACAUUGAAGACAUCCUGAUCUCCAGUGGAAGCAGAGCCAUAGUCAUACCCCUUAUCCACCGGGGACGAGUUCCAAGACCCCCAGGGAAUGCCUGAAACCUCGGAUAGUGCUGAUCUCUAUGGAUCUUGUGCACAAAUUUAUUUUUCCCUCUUUACAACUUCAUAGAUUGAAGGUUCAUUCUUACCAAAGAUCUUAGCAACCUUAGCUUAUAAUUCCUUUUCUUUCCUGAUUAAGUGGAGAACUUUCACCUUUUCACUAAAAGAAAAAAAAAGUGCUUUACGGCUGCUUUUGCCACGUGCACAUGGUCUUUUGGGACCAUCCUUAAGUCAAAUAAGGGUGACCUGGAUGCAAGCAUUGUGACACAGAGAAAGUCCAGCUCACCACCAAGAUGGCUACUGAGCCGCUGGUGGGCAUGGAGUGUCGUGUCUGCAGCGUGAACAUGCCGGGCAAAGGAAUAAUUCAUGUCAGGGAUAAGGUGGAGAAGGACCAUGCCAGGCUUCAUCACGCUACUCAGAAUGGCACACAGUUUAGAAAUUAUAAAGUGUUUAUUUCUGGAGUGAUCCAUUGCAUAUUUUCAGACGGUGGUUGAUCAUAGGUAACUGAAAGCAAAACCUGACUGAAAGGGGCUGCUGUGUUCAUCUCAGCAACGCUGACGCCCUUGAGGCCAGAAGAGUAACCACCAGUCUGGUACCUGAGCACCUGGCUGUAAGCCCACCCUCCAUUUCUGGCCAGGGCCGAGGAAUUCUCUCUUCUUCUCUUUAUUUUCCUCUUGAUUUGAGAAGGUCAACUCUGAGCAUGCUCUAAACACAAAUCAGCAUCUCUACACUUCUUUGGCACCAGGUGUUGCUACUGUCUUUCUGAUUAGAAAAAAAGAAAUAUCCAGGAAUUCUGGAAGACGGUGAUUGAUUUGCAGCUAUGCUGCAAUGGAGCUAAGAAUCGUUAGCACAACCCGUGCUGGUGUUCGACAAGAUGCCCAAUCAAUUCAUCCGAUGACAGGUGCGUUGUGUCUGCGAUGCGCGAAGCCGCAGAGUCAGGUGCUGGCCAGGCUCCAACAGGAGCAAGGAACAAGACUCCCCAGGGGCUCCUGAUCCACAGAAGGCAGGGACGCCCACAAAUAUACCAUGAGUAAAUAGUUCCAAUGUGAAGAAGACUGAAAAUGCCACAGAAGUGUGAACCGAGUGUUUUGAAAUUCUUUCUGCUGAAGGGAUUGAGAAGAACUCUUCCAUAAAGGAGCAUGACCGAGCCAUGAGUUAUAAUAUACACAUGCAUAUAGAAAGAGCAUAGGAAUACAGUUGCAGAAGGGCAUCAAAGCAGAAAACACAGAGGGAAUGACUUGAGGAAGCUGAGGACCAAGAGCAGUGCUAGCCAUGCCAGUGACUGUGGUCACUGAGAAGCUGGAUGAUGGAUGUUUGAGUGACCGUCAGGAGGAUCAGCAUGGUACCAGGAGGAUCAGCAUGGGACGAGGAAACAGCAGGCGAGUGAAUGUGAACUCGACUCUCAACAGGGAGAUGACGUGGGUCUCGGAAACCUACAGAUCGGAGUGGUUGCUGUCAAGUCAUGGCAGAGCUCUUACUGCACUGUGGAGGGAACAUCUGUGUUUUUGUCCUCCUGGAACCUAGUCCCCCUUUCCUGGAGGCAGCAUCCCAUUUGACCUGUGUGGGUCCAACCCCAUCUCUCUCCUGCAGCAGUGGCAUGGGACCCGGGGCUGGGCCAUUCGCAGCAUUGCCACAGGCAGCAAUGGUGAUUGAUCUAGGAGUUGAUCAUUGAUCCUAACUGGGUGCUCAGGCCAAGGGGAUUGAUUCUUGGUAUUUUUUAAACUCUUUUUUCCACUGGAAUUAUAGCUAAUAUGAUGAAGCCUAGAUAUACUGCGUAUCUGGCUUUUAGACAGGGCAAAACUGCCUAGAAAUGAAAAUGAAGUCACCACCUGUGAAAGCAGAAAUAAAAGCUUGAGAGAGACUGCGUCCUGGUGAGAAUUUCUGAACCCCUUGAUCCAGCGAUGCCUGAAGCCAGAACUACUUGUAAACUUUUCAGUCAUGCAAUCCUGUCACUUCUCUUUGUUCUUAAAUGCCUUUUGUAUGGUUUCUGCCACUGACCACAGAAACGUCCUUCACUAAUAGGGAAGCAGAGUUACCCCAUUUGAAAGCCUCAGAAGGAAGAUGGCAUUCAUGCAAAGGAAGCAUGCUUUUGCUCUCACUUCGCGAGAGAAAGCCUGAAAAUGAAGCCAAUCUCAUUUUCUUUCAGAGAUGAGUCUCUUGAUCAGAGAAUGCCUCAGUUCCCUGUAUCUAAAUUUUAGCAAGUGAGAGAAUGCCUCCGUCCCCUGUAUCUGAAUUUUAGCAAGCAAGAGAAUGCAUUUAGGACAAGCAACAGCAAUGGCUCCAGUGUGUUCUUGGCUGCUCUGUUUCUAAAUGAAGAUUCACCUGGAGGCAGCCUUUGCUGCAGGGACACCCAGAUCUGACCUUGUCCUUGUUCUUUUCAAUCAUUUUAGCAAGGGCUCAGAGCCUACUGAUCCGAUUUAGGGAUGACCCAUGAAAGCAGAUAUUUAGAUAAUAUUUUUACAAUACAGAAGUUCCCGACUGCCUGCAGCAUUAGGUUAGAACUAGUGAGAUAAAAAUAUAAUGAAAAUAAUAGAAAGCUUUGACCCUCAGAUU